UCUAAAAAAAAACUACAUACAAUGAAUUUCACAAAGGUUCUAAUAGUGAGACUUUUCAUUAUUAUGAUGAUUUCUGUAGCAAAUAACAAUGCUACUAAUGGAGAAAAAAUAUCUUGUGAAUGGAAGUGUAGACUUGCUUGUAUCUUCAAUCCUAUUUGCACAGACAUUUGUAUAAAGAAUUAUUGUCCACAUUCUAUUUCUUCUAAAGAAUUCAAUUGUAAACUUGCUUGUUUCAUUCAACAUUGCUACAAGUUUAAACAAGAUAAGGAGCUAAUGGGAAGGUGCUUGAAUGAAUGUUCAACAACAAAUUGCACCUAAUUAGAACUUCAUUUGCUAUAAUGCUAGUAUGCUACUUGUUUAUGUUGUCAAUGAAGUACUAAUUUUGAAUA